rnacentral:misc_RNA from 1 species
GAAAUGCGAUAAUUAAUGUGAAUUGCAGAAUUCAGUGAAUCAUCGAGUCCUUGAACGCACAUUGCGCCCCCUGGUAUUCCGGGGGGCAUGCCUGUCCGAGCGUCAUUGCUGCCCUCAAGCACGGCUUGUGUGUUGGGCUUCCGUCCCUGGCAACGGGGACGGGCCCAAAAGGCAGUGGCGGCACCAUGUCUGGUCCUCGAGCGUAUGGGGCUUUGUCACCCGCUCCCGUAGGUCCAGCUGGCAGCUAGCCUCGCAACCAAUCUUUUUAACCAGGUUGACCUCGGAUCAGGUAGGGAUACCCGCUGAACUUAAGC